UACGGAGGGUGCAAGCGUUAUCCGGAUUCACUGGGUUUAAAGGGUGCGCAGGCGGGCUGGUAAGUCAGUGGUGAAAGCCUUGAGCUUAACUCGAGAACUGCCAUUGAUACUAUCAGUCUUGAAUAUUGUUGAGGUUUGCGGAAUGGGUCAUGUAGCGGUGAAAUGCAUAGAUAUGACCCGGAACACCUAUUGCGAAGGCAGCAGGCUAAACAAAGAUUGACGCUGAGGCUCGAAAGCGUGGGGAUCAAACAGG
rnacentral:rRNA from 1 species